GAUGAACGCUGGCGGCGUGCCUAAUACAUGCAAGCCGAGCGAAUGGAUUAAGAGCUUGCUCUUAUGAAGUUAGCGGCGGACGGGUGAGUAACACGUGGGUAACCUGCCCAUAAGACUGGGAUAACUCCGGGAAACCGGGGCUAAUACCGGAUAACAUUUUGAACCGCAUGGUUCGAAAUUGAAAGGCGGCUUCGGCUGUCACUUAUGGAUGGACCCGCGUCGCAUUAGCUAGUUGGUGAGGUAACGGCUCACCAAGGCAACGAUGCGUAGCCGACCUGAGAGGGUGAUCGGCCACGCUGGGACUGAGACACGGCCCAGACUCCUACGGGAGGCAGCAGUAGGGAAUCUUCCGCAAUGGACGAAAGUCUGACGGAGCAACGCCGCGUGAGUGAUGAAGGCUUUCGGGUCGUAAAACUCUGUUGUUAGGGAAGAACAAGUGCUAGUUGAAUAAGCUGGCACCUUGACGGUACCUAACCAGAAAGCCACGGCUAACUACGUGCCAGCCGCCGCUGUAA
rnacentral:rRNA from 1 species